rnacentral:rRNA from 1 species
CCUACGGGCGGCAGCAGUGGGGAAUCUUGCGCAAUGGGCGAAAGCCUGACGCAGCCAUGCCGCGUGAAUGAUGAAGGUCUUAGGAUUGUAAAAUUCUUUCACCGGGGACGAUAAUGACGGUACCCGGAGAAGAAGCCCCGGCUAACUUCGUGCCAGCAGCCGCGGUAAUACGAAGGGGGCUAGCGUUGCUCGGAAUUACUGGGCGUAAAGGGCGCGUAGGCGGACAUUUAAGUCAGGGGUGAAAUCCCAGAGCUCAACUCUGGAACUGCCUGUGAUACUGGGUGUCUGGAGGGUGAGAGAGGUAUGUGGAACUCCGAGUGAAGAGGAGAAAGUAGUAGAUAUGGGGAAGAACAGCAGAGGCGAGGGAGAAAAACUGGCUCAUUACUGACGCUGAGGCGCGAAAGCGUGGGGAGCAAACAGGAUUAGAUACCCGAGUAGUC